rnacentral:rRNA from 1 species
AUUGAACGCUGGCGGCGUGCUUAACACAUGCAAGUCGAGCGGUAACGCGGGAGCAAUCCUGGCGACGAGCGGCGAACGGGUGAGUAAUGCUUCGGAAUCUGCCCUUUAGUGGGGAAUAACCAGCCGAAAGGUUGGCUAAUACCGCAUACGCCCCUCUUUUAAUUAAGAGGGGGAAAGCAGGGGAUCGUAAGACCUUGCGCUGUUGGAUGAGCCGAAGUCGGAUUAGCUAGUUGGUAGGGUAACGGCCUACCAAGGCGACAAUCCGUAGCUGGUCUGAGAGGACGACCAGCCGCACUGGGACUGAGACACGGCCCAGACUUCUACGGGAGGCAGCAGUGGGGAAUAUUGGACAAUGGGGGAAACCCUGAUCCAGCGACGCCGCGUGUGUGAAGAAGGCCUGCGGG